AUCCAGCUGACGAGACCCAAAUAGGAGGAAGCGCGCGCUUCCUGUAU
rnacentral:hammerhead_ribozyme from 1 species